AACUAUGUGCCAGCAGCUGCGGUAAUACAUAGGUCGCGAGCGUUAUUCGGAUUUAUUGGGCGUAAAGCAAGCGCAGGCGGAUUGAUAAGUUCUGUGUUAAAAGCAGCUGCUCAACAGUUGUUUGCACCGAAUACUGUCAGUCUAGAAUGUGGUAGGGAGUUUCGGAAUUAAAUAUGGAGCGGUGGAAUGUGUAGAUAUAUUUAAGAACACCAGAAGCGAAGGCGGAAACUCAGGCCAUUAUUGACGCUUAGGCUUGAAAGUGUGGGGAGCAAAUGGGAUUAGAUACCCCAGUAGUCCACACCGUAAACGAUGGGUAUUAGAUGUCGGGAUUUAAGUUUCGGCGUUGUAGCUUACGUGUUAAAUACCCCGCCUGGGUAGUACAUAUGCAAAUAUGAAACUCAAAGGAAUUGACGGGGACCUGAACAAGUGGUGGAACAUGUUGCUUAAUUCGAUAAUACACGAAAAACCUUACCAAGGUUUGACAUCCCCCGCAAAACCAUGGAAACAUGGCGGAGGUUAUCGGGGUGACAGGUGGUGCAUGGUUGUCGUCAGCUCGUGUCAUGAGAUGUUUGGUUAAGUCCCGCAACGAGCGCAACCCUACUCCUUAGUUACCUUUUCUAAGGAGACUGAACAGUAAUGUAUAGGAAGGUUGGGAUCACGUCAAAUCAUCAUGCCCCUUAUGCCUUGGGCUGCAAACGUGUUACAAUGGCGAGUACAAUGUGUCGCAAGCUAGCAAUAGCAAGCCAAUCACCUAAAACUCGUCUCAGUUCGGAUAGGAGGCUGCAAUUCGCCUCCUUGAAGUUGGAAUCACUAGUAAUCCCGUGUCAGCUAUAUCGGGGUGAAUACGUUCCCAGGUCUUGUACAC
rnacentral:rRNA from 1 species